GUACAGCUGAUGAGACCCAACCAGGUCGAAACAGCUGUACAGUGC
rfam:Echinostoma caproni strain Egypt genome assembly, scaffold: ECPE_scaffold0001697